AUUGAACGCUGGCGGCAUGCCUUACACAUGCAAGUCGAACGGCAGCGCGGGGGCAACCCUGGCGGCGAGUGGCGAACGGGUGAGUAAUAUAUCGGAACGUACCCAAGAGUGGGGGAUAACGUAGCGAAAGUUACGCUAAUACCGCAUACGAUCUAAGGAUGAAAGUGGGGGACCGCAAGGCCUCACGCUCCUGGAGCGGCCGAUAUCUGAUUAGCUAGUUGGUGGGGUAAAGGCCUACCAAGGCAUCGAUCAGUAGCUGGCCUGAGAGGACGACCAGCCACACUGGGACUGAGACACGGCCCAGACUCCUACGGGAGGCAGCAGUGGGGAAUUUUGGACAAUGGGGGCAACCCUGAUCCAGCAAUGCCGCGUGAGUGAAGAAGGCCU
rnacentral:rRNA from 1 species